rnacentral:rRNA from 1 species
AUGAACCCAUCCUCCGCCCCUGGACCGGAUGGUUUGCCUGUUCGCUUCUUCCAAGUGUUCUGGCAAUCCAUCAGGUGCGAGGUCCUUGCUUUGUUCCUCAAGUUCUCGAGAGGUACUCUUGAUAUCUCCUGGCUGAACUACGGGAUUAUUUUGCUUAUCCUGAAGGUCCAAGGGGCCUCGGACAUUCGACAAUUCUAUCCUAUCACGGUGAUCAACGUGAUUUUUCGUAUCUUGGCCAAAGGGUACGCCACUAGCACGGCCCUGAGAGCGCCUAGGCUGCACCACCCCAAUCAGUCCGCCUUCACGAAGGGGAGGUACAUUCUAGACAGGGUUCUUGUGCUUCAUGAGAUCCUUCACGAGGUCAAAAGAAGACACCUUUGUGCGGUGUUCUUCAAGAUUGACUUUCACAAGGCUUAUGAUACAGUUCAUUGGCCCUUCCUUCGGGAAGUUUUGAUUCGUCGCGGUUUUGACCCCCAUUCGAUUGCCCGCAUCAUGUAA